AUGGGGAAUCCGGGCAAUGCAUCCUCGUCGUCAACGUCGGGCCGGCGUGGCCCGGCCGGAUUCGGGCUGGCGCUGGCCCGGCUGGUGCGGCGGCUGCGGAGGCGGAGCAAGAUGUUGGUGUGCACGGCGGCUCCCACGGGCGCGUCGUCCCGGUGCCGCCAGUACGACCCCCUCAGCUACGCGCGCAACUUCGACCGCGACGGCUUCGGCUCCGCGCUGGACGACGACGUCUCCGGCGCCGGCCACCUCUGCCACCACUACUCCUUCGCCUCGCGCUUCGUGCUCUCCUCCUCCGACGCCCACCAGCCGCAGUAG
rnacentral:rRNA from 1 species